ensembl:snRNA Rnu6-446 RNA, U6 small nuclear 446
GUGCUCACUUUGGCAGCACAUAUACUAAAAUCGGAAUGAUGCAGACAAGACUAGCUAGCAUGCCCUCUUAGAAAGGCGGACAUGCAAAUUCUUGAAGCGUCCCAUAGUUUU